UACGGAGGGGGCAAGCGUUGUUCGGAAUUACUGGGCGUAAAGGGCUGGUAGGCGGCCAACUAAGUCGGAUGUGAAAUCCCCAGGCUUAACCUGGGAACUGCAUCCGAUACUGGUCGGCUUGAAUCCGGGAGAGGGAUGCGGAAUUCCAGGUGUAGCGGUGAAAUGCGUAGAUAUCUGGAGGAACACCGGUGGCGAAGGCGGCAUCCUGGACCAAUUCUGACGCUGAGGAGCGAAAGCCAGGGGAGCAAACGGG
rnacentral:rRNA from 1 species